UACGUAGGGGGCAAGCGUUGUUCGGAAUUACUGGGCGUAAAGGGCGCGUAGGCGGCACAGCAAGUCGGGAGUGAAAGCCCGGGGCUCAACCCCGGAACUGGCUUUCGAAACGUGCUGAGCUAGAGUACAGAAGGGGCAACCGGAAUUCCCAGUGUAGCGGUGAAAUGCGUAGAUAUUGGGAAGAACACCUGAGGCGAAGGCGGGUUGCUGGGCUGAUACUGACGCUGAGGCGCGAAAGCGUGGGGAGCAAACGGG
rnacentral:rRNA from 1 species